rnacentral:lncRNA from 10 species
ACUUCCGUACUUCCGCUUUCCGGCCCAGCCAGCGCCCGCGAUGACUGCCACUCUCCGCCCCUACCUGAGUGCCGUGCGGGCCACAUUGCAGGCUGCCCUCUGCCUGGAGAACUUCUCCUCCCAGGUUGUGGAACGACACAACAAGCCGGAAGUGGAAGUCAGUCCUCGCCAGUGAAUUAGGAAUCAGAGUCAUUUUACAGAUGAGAAAAUUGAGAUUCCAACAGGGUAACUUGCCCAAGGAAAGUAACAGAGGAGGCUGGAUUUCAAAACCUUUUCGCCCUGACUUCAGAGCCUGUGCUCUUUCUGCUGAAGAACACACUCACUGGCCCCCAUCUUGGAGCACUCCUGCUUGAGUAGCAAAGAGCUCCUGUUACAACCUGUGACCAUCAGCAGGAAUGAGAAGGAAAAGGUUCUGAUUGAGGGCUCCAUCAACUCUGUCCGGGUCAGCAUUGCUGUGAAACAGGCUGAUGAGAUCGAGAAGAUUUUGUGCCACAAGUUCAUGCGCUUCAUGAUGAUGCGAGCAGAGAACUUCUUUAUCCUUCGAAGGAAGCCUGUGGAGGGGUAUGAUAUCAGCUUUCUGAUCACCAACUUCCACACAGAGCAGAUGUACAAACACAAGUUGGUGGACUUUGUGAUCCACUUCAUGGAGGAGAUUGACAAGGAGAUCAGUGAGAUGAAGCUGUCAGUCAAUGCCCGUGCCCGCAUUGUGGCUGAAGAGUUCCUUAAGAAUUUUUAAACCAUCUGGCUGGAUCUCGUGGCCUUCCCCCUCAGACUACCCAUGUCUCCACGAAGGCGUCCUGGAGUCACUCCCCGAGCAGCGCGGCGGCGGCAGGGAGUUGGGUUGGGGUGGGCAUUUGAUGCGGGAGGUGGGUGGUGUGCUUGCUAGCUGGGCAAGAAAGCAGCAGUGGACCUGCCCCAAGGCCACACGUGCCUGGUCAGGCUGGCUUCUGAUGUUCA